ensembl:misc_RNA Metazoa_SRP Metazoan signal recognition particle RNA
GCCGGGUGCGGUGGCUCACGCCUGUAAUCCCAGCAUGGGAGGCUGAGGUGGGUGGAUCACCUGAGGUCAGGAGUUCGAGACCAGCCUGAUCAAUAUGGUGAAACCCCAUCUUUA